rnacentral:rRNA from 1 species
GAUGAACGCUAGCGGCAGGCCUAAUACAUGCAAGUCGAACGGUGAUAGCAAUAUCAUAGUGGCGCACGGGUGCGUAACACGUAUGCAACCUACCUAUUAUUGGGGGAUAGCCUUUGGAAACGGAGAUUAAUACCGCAUAAUACGAUUGACUGGCAUCGGUUGAUUGUUAAAGCUUAGGCGAUAAUAGAUGGGCAUGCGUCCAAUUAGUUAGUUGGUUAGGUAACGGCUGACCAAGACGAUGAUUGGUAGGGGAUCUGAGAGGAUAAUCCCCCACACUGGCACUGAGAUACGGGCCAGACUCCUACGGGAGGCAGCAGUAGGGAAUAUUGGGCAAUGGGCGGAAGCCUGACCCAGCCAUGCCGCGUGCAGGAAGAAGGCGUUAUGCGUUGUAAACUGCUUUUUUAUAGGAAGAAGGAUCCCUUGCGAGGGAAGGUGACGGUACUAUAAGAAUAAGCACCGGCUAACUCCGUGCCAGCAGCCGCCGUAACAC